rnacentral:rRNA from 1 species
CCUACGGGUGGCAGCAGUGGGGAAUAUUGCUCAAUGGGGGAAACACUGAAGCAGCCACGCCGCGUGGGGGAUGAAGGUUUUCGGAUUGUAAAAUCUUUUUGUUCGAGAAGCUAAUGACGGUAUCUGACGCAUAAGCACCGGCUAACUCCGUGACAGCACCCGCGGUUAGGCGGAGGGUGCAAGCGUUACUCGGAAUCACUGGGCGUAAAGAGCGCGUAGGCGGGAUAGCAGGUCAGAUGUGAAAUCCUAGGGCUUAACCAUAGAACUGCAUUUGAAACUGUUAUUCUAGAGUAUGGGAGAGGUAGGUGGAAUGCGUGGUGUAGGGGUAAAAUCCGUAGAGAUCAAGAGGAAUACUCAGUGCGAAGGCGACCUGCUAGAACAUAACUGACGCUGAUGCGCGAAAGCGUGGGGAGCAAACAGGAUUAGAUACCCUAGUAGUC